CAGUAGCCGCGGUAAUACAGAGGGUGCGAGCGUUAAUCGGAUUUACUGGGCGUAAAGCGUGCGUAGGCGGCUAAUUGAGUCGGAUGUGAAAUCCCCGAGCUUAACUUGGGAAUUGCAUUCGAUACUGGUUAGCUAGAGUGUGGGAGAGGAUGGUAGAAUUCCAGGUGUAGCGGUGAAAUGCGUAGAGAUCUGGAGGAAUACCGAUGGCGAAGGCAGCCAUCUGGCCUAACACUGACGCUGAGGUACGAAAGCAUGGGGAGCAAACAGGAUUAGAUACCCCGGUAGUCCCUGUCUCUUAUAA
rnacentral:rRNA from 1 species